UUCAAGAAAUCUGUGGGAAG
rnacentral:miRNA from 1 species